rnacentral:rRNA from 1 species
GAUCCUGGCUCAGGAUGAACGCUAGCUACAGGCUUAACACAUGCAAGUCGAGGGGGCAGCAUGGUCUUAGCUUGCUAAGGCCGAUGGCGACCGGCGCACGGGUGAGUAACGCGUAUCCAACCUGCCUUACACUCUUGGACAGCCUUCUGAAAGGGAGAUUAAUACAAGAUGUUAUCAUGAGUAAGCUAUUUUCACAUGAUUAAAGGUUUACCGGUGUAAGAGUGGGGAUGCGUUCCUA